UUGUCAGAGUGUGGAGAAACACCGUUAGAUCUCAGAAGAAUAUGGCUAGCAUCUAAAUUCAUUUUAAAAGUAGUAGCCUAUGACAACCCAAUAUAUGCCUCAAUUGAGCAAUUUCACAAUGUCUUUCUGGGUUACUUUAGUUUUUGGAGAAGAAAAUAUUUCCCACCAAUACUGGCUGCUUUCCAGAAUACUUUACAUGAAAUUCAUGAGGUAGCACAUAGCUCCUUAUUUCCUUGUCACUCCUUUCCACUUAAUAUUCAGAUUUCUCCUAUGGCUUAUGAAACUGUCAAUAUGGGCAAAGAAGCAAAUAACCAAACCAAGUUUAUGGAAUGGUACCUCAAUAACUGGUCGGAAUAUAAACUUAUUUUCACAGAUGGAUCCAAAGAUAAACAAGGUAAUGUAGGUAUUGGGAUAUACCUUAACGAGAGAACACAGUUAACAGCAAGAUUACCCUCCGCUAAUUCAAUUUGCUCAGCAGAAGUAUUUGCCAUUAAAAAAGCAUUAGAGUUAAUCCAACAGAAUAAUUUUACAAAGUGCCUCAUCUGUAGUGAUUCUAAGAGUGCUCUAGAAAAAAUCACAAGAUCAAGCUACAGGGCGGCAAUAGACUCACAAACUCUCCAACUAAAACAAAAACUAUGUGAAUUUGAUGAACAACAUAGAGAAAUUAAAUUUGCAUGGAUUCCAAGUCACACUGGAAUUAUUGGGAAUGAUAGAGCUGACCAUCUUGCGAAUCUUGGAAGAAAGCUGCCCAUUAGUGAAGAACCAAAGGCCUCCUUUAAAGAUUUUCAAAUUAAAUAUAAAGAAAACCUAUGGAUCGGUUGGGAAAAUCGAUUCCAACAAAUAGGACAGGCAAAAGGAAUUACUUAUUGCUCACAAGUUACAGUUCCAUAUAAAAAGGCAUGGUUUACAAAAUUUCCCAACCUGGGGAGAGGUAUAAUCACACAAAUGUGUCGUAUGAGAAGUGGACAUUGUAGUGUUCCUGUACAUUUAUUUAGAUUGAAGGUAGUGAAUUCAAACCAGUGUUUAUGUGGCAGUGUAGGAACUUUACAACAUGUUUUAUUGGAAUGUACUAGGUUCCAAAGAGAGUCCCAGUUGCUUAGAAGGGAACUAGAAGGUGAUCCGACAUUAACUGAUGUGUUGUUUAAAAAUUUAAACUCAAAGACAUUAAUCGCAGUGCAAAAGUUUUUAACAUCAACAAUGACUCGUGUGUAGCUUGCUUAAAAACUUUAUGACUUUAUGCUUGCUUGCAAUGCAUGUGCUUUGUGCUUAGUGCGGUUUUGCGUGGUAGUACUAGAACUAGACCAUUAAUAGUAGAACUUUAGUUAUGGAACUUAUAAACAAUUAAAAAGUUUUUUUUUCUAUCUCUUGAUUAUUUCAGAUUCAGGAGCUAUGAGCUUAAGCCCAGAUGUACCUCAGGUACGGCUCUUGAAUAUUCAAGUCUAUAUUCACGGAUCCUGGCCGGAUAGCCCUGGCAGCUAAGGCCAUUCAAAUGAAGAGAAGAAGAAGAAGUCUGCUGAAGUUGUUGCAUGUGUUUCAUUUUCAUUCCUUUCGUUUCAUCAUUUGUUGUAAUUUUUGUAGUAAAGCACAUUUAAAAAAAAUCUGUUUUAAAGCUAUGGCUGAUGAAGAAUUUGACGAAAAUGAUGUAGCAGAUGAUUUCGAUGACGACGUAGAGGAUGAUAAUAUCGAAGAACUCGAACAACCCGAGGAAGAUGGAGAUAACAUCGAUAUCCUUGCUCCAGGACAAGCAGGAGGUGGUGUACCAAAAAACAAGAGGAUAACAACUAAAUAUAUGACCAAAUAUGAGAGAGCCAGAGUAUUAGGUACUAGAGCCUUGCAAAUAGCCAUGUGUGCCCCAGUUAUGGUUGAACUAGAUGGUGAAACUGAUCCUCUGCAAAUUGCCAUGAAGGAAUUAAAACAGAGAAAGAUUCCAAUUAUUAUUAGAAGAUAUUUACCUGACCAUUCCUAUGAAGAUUGGGGAAUAGACGAGCUCAUUAUUAUAGAUCACUAGAUUGUAAUUUUUAUGUGGAUAUUAUUUAAUACAUAGGUUUUUAUAUCA